CCUGUAGUAUCAAAAAAGUGACAAUAAUGGGUCCGCUUCUCGCUUACGGUCUCUAAAGUGUCCUCCUCCAUUGGGCAGUGACUCUAUUGAACCUUAACUACAAGAAUCUCUCUAGUGCGCAAGCACUUGACAUCACUAGCCAAAAUAAGCACCGGCUCCACUACAUAGGUUAAAUGCUUAUCCAACUGAACUGAGUUCCAUCUAAGCAUAUAAGAUAAAUUAGAAAUGUAUUGCCG
rnacentral:lncRNA from 1 species